ensembl:lncRNA
AUGGACAGAGCUGGGCAGGAAAAUCUGUGGCAAAACUGGAACGAUUUAUGCCCAAUAAUGAAUUGCACCAAUGAAGAUUGUCAGAGGAUUUGUCCCCAGCUCUGCAAGCUGCUUGGGCCCGAGGAGGAGCAGUUGAAGAGGAGCAUCCUGAUGGACUCUGUAAAAGUGCUGUUAAUGGAGUUGGGAAGAAGAGAUAAUUUCCUUGCUGCAGCGAGUCUGUGUGAUGAAGUGCUCAGGCUCUGGUUACAAAUGAAUGCAACAACCUUUAAAUCCUUUCCAUACGGACAAAUGAAUGUAUUUCUCAUCAUAAUAUUGCUGGAAAUCCAGACAGGCCAGUGCAUCUUUGUGACUUUCUCUGCAUGAGUCAGAUUUACACCGCUGCACCGGGGGGAAAAAAAUAAGGAAAGGGUUGUUCUGACAAGUUGAUAAACAAGUUAAAAUAAUAUCAUUUGUGCUGUGCCAUUUGUAUGUUGUCAGCACGCACAGAAUUCCAGAAAUUGAUGUGGAUAAAUCCAUUCCAGGGCUGCUGCUGGCUCCAGGGGGUCCUGGUGAGGAAUUUGCACCCAGCCCUUCCCCAAAGGAUGAAAGUCACAUUUCUGUUCCAGCACUGCUGCCACUGAAAUUUGAUGUCAGUGUUACAGCCUCAUCCUCCUUUCCAAAUCCCUUGUGCUAAUAGUGCUUAAGCCUUAAUUGCACAUUUAAUCAUCAGAAUUACAGAGUGACUGGGGAAGUUGGAUGGGAAAAAUGCAGUGGGCAAAGAGACCAGGGCAAAUCAAACAGCAGAGGGAGAGAAAAGAAGUCAUUUUGUGGUUUGCAGAAAACAUUAAACACAUUCUUCAGCCAAUGGUGGAAUGAGAUCCCUGGAAACAUCAGCUUUGUGCUGCUGGAUGCUCUGUGCUUACUGGAACUAAUUAUCUACAAAUUUAUCUGUUUAUCCACAAUCUAAAGGACACACUGCCGUCAACUAAACUCAAGCACUAAAAUCAAAAAUAAUUGAGCUCUGGACUCAGAUUUUUCUGUAGCUGCCCGAGUUUUUUUAAAGCUCUGCAUACCAAAUCUCCACCCCACACAAGAAGUGUUCUCUUUUAGAAGGAAAAGACAGAUUUUUAACUUGAUAAUUAAAAUACUUGACUGCAAACAGAAAAUCCAUCCUAUCUACAGGUUCUCUGAACACAGCAUUUCAAGAAUCUCAGUGAGCUUUGCCAAAUCACUUCAGUCACCAAGGAAAAAAAGGUGACACAGUUGGUGAAAUAAUGAACUGAAGCCGGGAGCUGGGAUGUUGAUGCUGGGAUGUCAGAACUGCAAUUCCUGUCUCAGUGCCUGAUCUCCUGCAGCACAAUAAUUUUGAGGAAAGUCAAAAUCAGAUUUUAAAGCAGUCCACAGACAACAGAAUAAUUCUUACUACAGGUAACCAUUUGUUACUGACACUUCUUCCUCCCGUGGAAGUCUUUUGGUGGCCGUGUAACAUCUGAAAAAUGAAACUCUGACUUCAUAACUGAGCUGCCAGCUCCAAUCACUUUGUUAGAGCUGGGCAAAAAUACCUCUCCCUUUUUCAGAAAAAGUUGUUGUUUUCUCACUGGAAAGCAAUUUGUUCAGCAAAACUUCAAAAGCUUUUUCUAAAUAACCCAAAGGUACGAAGCUGGUCUGGAGCUGCCCAAAAAGAGGAUGAAGGACACAAUCCAACCCCGUGUCUGACAGUGGGAAUGAGUUUUGUCUCUGGCUAAAUUCUGCGCUCUACAUCCAGAAAAUCAAUUCCUCCUCUGGUUUAGCUGCCACCACCCCCAAACUGAUUCUGCAGGGGAAAUCUGGGAGGAUGAGUGAGGAUGGGUUUGACCUUCUCCUGAUCAGUACAGAGAGGAAUCUCCCACAAGGCAGUGGUGUCCUGCAUCCCCAGCUGUGAGGGAGAGUCCCAGAUUCCAGCAGGAAGGACACUCCUGUCCAUGGGAAGCCAGGGAAUCUUGGAACCUGUGCCUUGGGGCUUUGCAGAGCUUUGCUUUGCUGGCAGCCCCAUGCUGCUGCUCAGCCCAAGCACAGCAACCCCAGCAGAAAUUCCUGUCAGGAAUUCCCAGCUCUGCUGACAAUUCCAGCCUGCCUGAGGCUGUGCUGCUCCCUUUCCUCGAGGAUUUUCCUGCCACUGCCCUGCUGACAUUUCCUUCUUCCACUUCACCAAAUGCCAUCAGAUUUGGAAAUGUGAGCUUGUCCUGCACUGCACAAACAGCAGCCCAGGGAAUGAUCCUGGUGGUUUCAGCUCCCUGGAAUCCUGAUGUGCUUUGCAAUGAUUCAAAGGAACAUUUCUUCCUCUUGAACACGCCAGGUGACGAGCAGAUGAAAUCUCUCCUGAGCCCUAUGAAUUACCAGUAGCAAAUCUGUGCCUUCUUGUACAGAAAAAUCAGAUAAAGCAUCUACUUUGCAACCUUUCAUUUAAUCUACAGACUGAUACCAUAUUGCUCCAAGCUUUAUAUUUAAAAAAAAAAACCCACAAAAGAUGGACAGGCUGUGCCAAUGGUAUUUGACAGCUCUCUGUCCAUGAGAACACCCUCCAAUAAAUUAUUUCCAAACAGCA